rnacentral:misc_RNA from 1 species
AAAUAAAAAAUAUUAAAAAAAAAAUUGAUAACCCAAGCAACAAUAUCUGAAAAUUUACUAAGACUCCCUUUGUUUCAUGAAAAAUAUUGUGCUGGGCACUAGGAAAAACUAAGGUAAGUCAUUUUCUAGACUGACUUAUUUGCAUGACAUAAACACGGAAAAUAUUUUAAUGGAAAACAUUUUCUCAGAAAAUAUUUUCCAGUAAAAUAUUUUCCAUAUUAUUUUACACGAAACAGACGAGCUAAGUGAAUAUAUAAUUAAGAAAAAUUAUCAAAGAAAGGAGAAGA